CCUACGGGGGGCAGUAGUGAGGAAUAUUGGUCAAUGGGCGCAAGCCUGAACCAGCCAUCCCGCGUGAAGGAUGAAGGCUCUAGUAGUUGUAAACUUCUUUUAUAUGGGAAGAAACCUGAGUACGUGUACCCAGUUGACGGUAUCAUAUGAAUAAGCAUCGGCUAACUCCGUGCCAGCAGCCGCGGUAAUACGGAGGAUGCAAGCGUUAUCCGGAUUUAUUGGGUUGAAAGGGUCCGCAGAAGUGAGCAUAGAAAUCCUAUAGCUUAACUAUAGAACUGCCAUUGAUACUGUGAUUCUUGAAUGUAGUUGACGUGGGCGGAAUAUGACAUGUAGCGGUGAAAUGCUUAGAUAUGUCAUAGAACACCAAUUGCGAAGGCAGCUCACGAAACUAUUAUUGACGCUCAGGGACGAAAGUGUGGGUAGCAAACAGGAUUAGAUACCCUAGUAGUC
rnacentral:rRNA from 1 species